UAAUCUUUAUCAAUAGAGAGCAUAUAAAGCUUGCCUUGUAACUGACCAAGACCAACACUUAUAUUAUGAAACUUAAUAUAACACUUACUGUUGCCAAACUCAAUAAUAUCUCCUAAAUUAUCUAAUGCUAAAACUAAAAUAAGGUUUCUCUUUAAAUUAGGAACAUAAAGAACAUCAUCUAAUUGAAGAUUGAAGCCACUUGGUAGCUCUAAUGCGAAGUUUCCAACACCUUCGACUUCAACUUCAUUGCCAUCAACAACUCUAAGAUUUUGCUCCCC
rnacentral:lncRNA from 1 species